rnacentral:rRNA from 1 species
GUGAACGCUGGCGGCAGGCCUAACACAUGCAAGUCGAGCGGCAGCGGGUCCUUCGGGAUGCCGGCGAGCGGCGGACGGGUGAGGAAUACAUCGGAAUCUGCCCUGUCGUGGGGGAUAACCUAGGGAAACUUAGGCUAAUACCGCAUACGACCUACGGGUGAAAGCGGGGGAUCGCAAGACCUCGCGCGACAGGAUGAGCCGAUGUCCGAUUAGCUAGUUGGCGGGGUAAAGGCCCACCAAGGCGACGAUCGGUAGCUGGUCUGAGAGGAUGAUCAGCCACACUGGGACUGAGACACGGCCCAGACUCCUACGGGAGGCAGCAGUGGGGAAUAUUGGACAAUGGGCGCAAGCCUGAUCCAGCCAUGCCGCGUGGGUGAAGAAGGCCUUCGGGUUGUAAAGCCCUUUUGUCCGGGAAGAAAUCGUCUGGGCUAAUACCCCGGGCGGAUGACGGUACCGGAAGAAUAAGCACCGGCUAACUUCGUG